GCCAGUAUGACAUAGUGGAUUGAGCAUUGGACUAGGACUCUGGAGGCCAGGGUUCAAAUCCCAGCUUGGCCA